rnacentral:rRNA from 1 species
AUGGCUCUCAUGCAGCAGCGCCGGCGCCCACCAGCUUCACCUCCUUCCCAUGGACGCGCUCCACGUCCGUCUAAUUCGAGUAUGAGCUGCUCCCCAGGACCUCUAUGCCGUUUGCAACUGGAGCACUACCCACGAGCUCCACUGUCCCGAAUAAGCAAAAGGAAGACCACUCCAACUCCAUUACAAAAUUUACAAAGAAAUGGUCUACAAAAAAGUUCUCAGUGUGCAGUCCAAGGUCUCUUUGUCAUCGACGCCUCUCCUUUGUUUGGUAGCUCCAAAUCUAAAUUUCAGGUCAGACCCCAAAUAUUUAUUUCCUUGUUGUGUGUGAUCGACAUCUUUUUCUGGCAGAAACCUGGUUGA